GAUGAACGCUGGCGGCGUGCUUAACACAUGCAAGUCGAACGAAGCACUCUAUUUGAUUUUCUUCGGAAAUGAAGAUUUUGUGACUGAGUGGCGGACGGGUGAGUAACGCGUGGGUAACCUGCCUCAUACAGGGGGAUAACAGUUGGAAACGACUGCUAAUACCGCAUAAGCGCACGGUAUCGCAUGGUACAGUGUGAAAAACUCCGGUGGUAUGAGAUGGACCCGCGUCUGAUUAGCUAGUUGGUGGGGCAACGGCCUACCAAGGCGACGAUCAGUAGCCGAGAUGAGAGGGUGACCGGCCACAUUGGGACUGAGACACGGCCCAAACACGUACGGGAGGCAGCAGUGGGGAAUAUUGCACAAUGGGGGAAACCCUGAUGCAGCGACGCCGCGUGAACGAAGAAGUAUUUCGGUAUGUAAAGUUCUAUCAGCAGGGAAGAUAAUGACGGUACCUGACUAAGAAGCACCGGCUAAAUACGUGCCAGCAGCCGCCGUAA
rnacentral:rRNA from 1 species